UACGUAGGGUGCGAGCGUUGUCCGGAAUUACUGGGCGUAAAGAGCUCGUAGGUGGUUUGUCGCGUUGUUCGUGAAAACUCACAGCUCAACUGUGGGCGUGCGGGCGAUACGGGCAGACUGGAGUACUGCAGGGGAGACUGGAAUUCCUGGUGUAGCGGUGGAAUGCGCAGAUAUCAGGAGGAACACCGGUGGCGAAGGCGGGUCUCUGGGCAGUAACUGACGCUGAGGAGCGAAAGCGUGAGGAGCGAACAGG
rnacentral:rRNA from 1 species